rnacentral:rRNA from 1 species
GACGAACGCUGGCGGCGUGCUUAACACAUGCAAGUCGAACGGAAAGGCCCUGCUUUUGUGGGGUGCUCGAGUGGCGAACGGGUGAGUAACACGUGAGUAACCUGCCCUUGACUUUGGGAUAACUUCAGGAAACUGGGGCUAAUACCGGAUAGGAGCUCCUGCUGCAUGGUGGGGGUUGGAAAGUUUCGGCGGUUGGGGAUGGACUCGCGGCUUAUCAGCUUGUUGGUGGGGUAGUGGCUUACCAAGGCUUUGACGGGUAGCCGGCCUGAGAGGGUGACCGGCCACAUUGGGACUGAGAUACGGCCAAGACUCCUACGGGAGGCAGAAGGGGGGAAUAUUGCACAAUGGGCGGAAGCCUGAUGCAGCAACGCCGCGUGCGGGAUGACGGCCUUCGGGUUGUAAACCGCUUUCGCCUGUGACGAAGCGUGAGUGACGGUAAUGGGUAAAGAAGCACCGGCUAACUACGUG